rnacentral:rRNA from 1 species
CACGGAAUUAGCCGGUCCUUUUUCUGAAGGUACAUACAAUAGAGGACACGUCCUCUUUUUUAUUCCCAACUAAAAGCAGUUUACAGCCCAGAGGGCCGUCAUCCUGCACGCUACUUGGCUGGUUCAGACUUUCGUCCAUUGACCAAUAUUCCUCACUGCUGCCUCCCGUAGGAGUCUGGACCGUGUCUCAGUUCCAGUGUGGGGGACCUUCCUCUCAGAACCCCUACCGAUCGAAGGCUAGGUGGGCCGUUACCCCGCCUACUACCUAAUCGGACGCAUCACCAUCUCAUACCGAUAAAUCUUUGGUUGUAUCACCAUGCGGUAACAUAACAACAUCGGGUAUUAAUCUUACUUUCGCAAGGCUAUCCCCGAGUAUGAGGCAGGUUUGAUACGCGUUACGCACCCGUGCGCCGGUCGCCACUCAGAAGAAGCAAGCUUCUUCCAUGCUGCCCCUCGACUUGCAUGUGUUAAGCCUGUGCUAGUCGUUCAUCUGAGCCAGGAUCGAAACUCC